rnacentral:rRNA from 1 species
GACGAACCGUGCGAACGUUUGUUCGGAAUCACUGGGCUUAAAGGGCGCGUAGGCGGGCUGUCAAGUCUGGGGUGAAAUGCCGCGGCUCAACCGGUGGAACUGCCUCAGAUACUGACGGCCUCGAGGAAGGUGAGGGGCAUGCGGAACUGUAGGUGGAGCGGUGAAAUGCGUUGGAUAUCUACAGGAACUCCGGUGGCGAAAGCGGCGUGCUGGACCUUUUCUGACGCUGAGGCGC